rnacentral:rRNA from 1 species
CGCGGCCUAUCAGCUUGUUGGUGGGGUAAUGGCCUACCAAGGCAACGACGGGUAGCUGGUCUGAGAGGAUGAUCAGCCACACUGGGACUGAGACACGGCCCAGACUCCUACGGGAGGCAGCAGUGGGGAAUCUUGCGCAAUGGGCGAAAGCCUGACGCAGCAGCGCCGCGUGCGGGAUGAAGGCCUUCGGGCUGUAAACCGCUUUCAGCAGGAACGAAAAUGACGGUACCUGCAGAAGAAGGAGCGGCCAACUACGUGCCAGCAGCCGCGGUGACACGUAGGCUCCAAGCGUUGUCCGGAUUUAUUGGGCGUAAAGAGCUCGUAGGCGGUUGAGUAAGUCGGGUGUGAAAACUCUGGGCUUAACCCGGAGACGCCAUCCGAUACUGCUCUGACUAGAGUUCAGGAGGGGAGUGGGGAAUUCCUAGUGUAGCGGUGAAAUGCGCAGAUAUUAGGAGGAACACCGGUGGCGAAGGCGCCACUCUGGACUGAA